GACGUAGGGCGCAAGCGUUGUCCGGAUUUAUUGGGCGUAAAGAGCUCGUAGGCGGUUUGUUGCGUCGGCUGUGAAAUCCCGAGGCUCAACCUCGGGUCUGCAGUCGAUACGAGCAAACUAGAGUGUUGCAGGGGAGACUGGAAUUCCUGGUGUAGCGGUGAAAUGCGCAGAUAUCAGGAGGAACACCGGUGGCGAAGGCGGGUCUCUGGGCAACAACUGACGCUGAGGAGCGAAAGCGUGGGGAGCGAACAGG
rnacentral:rRNA from 1 species